UACGUAGGGUGCGAGCGUUGUCCGGAAUUAUUGGGCGUAAAGAGCUCGUAGGCGGCUCGUUGCGUCAACCGUGAAAACCCGCGGCUCAACUGCGGGCCUGCAGCCGAUACGGGCAGGCUAGAGUUCGGUAGGGGAGACUGGAAUUCCUGGUGUAGCGGUGAAAUGCGCAGAUAUCAGGAGGAACACCGGUGGCGAAGGCGGGUCUCUGGGCCGAUACUG
rnacentral:rRNA from 1 species